rnacentral:rRNA from 1 species
CGCGCAGGCGGCUUUGGAAGUUGGGCGUGAAAGCCCCGGGCUCAACCCGGGAACAGCGCUCGAUACUCCGAGGCUUGAGUUCGGGAGAGGAGGGUGGAAUUCCCAGUGUAGAGGUGAAAUUCGUAGAUAUUGGGAAGAACACCGGUGGCGAAGGCGGCUCUCUGGACCGAUACUGACGCUGAGGCGCGAAAGCGUGGGGAGCAAACAGGGAUUAGAUACCCUGGUAGUCCACGCUGUAAACGAUGUGUGCUAGACGUUGGGGGGCGUAGCCCUCCGGUGUCGCAGCUAACGCGAUAAGCACACCGCCUGGGGAGUACGGCCGCAAGGUUAAA